rnacentral:lncRNA from 1 species
CUUCAUGGCAAAACCUUAAAAAGAAUGUUUGGUUGUAUGCAAUAACAUGCCAAAGCCUGCUUAAAGCCAUCACCUCCAACACAGCAAGCAAGAAGCUCUACCUCCAAGUGAUUCCUUUGGAGUUUUUGUGUGCAGUCUUUCUAGACAGUGUUUUCUGUCAAACAGCAGUGGGCAAGCUGUCGUUCAUCAUCCAAGAUGUUUUUUGUAAGGGAAAAUGCAUACAGAGGAUGAUCAGAAAGAGUUGUGGUUGAAAGUUGAAGGCAGAUGGCUGAGAACAGAGAACAACGUGGACAAGGAAGUCCAAAGGAGCACAUAUUGAUGUCAAACAAAGAGAACUGGGCUAUCUCCUGCAUUUUAUUCCUGCCACCUUUCUCAAAAUUGAAUGAAAGUAUGAAAACAAGACUAAAACACAGCAAAUGAAAACAUCUACAGGAGAACUGCUUUUAGCAGAGGUUGGUAGAAAGACAGAAAUAAUGAGGGCUGGGAGCAUGUCUGUCAUUUCAGAGGGAGAGAGGCUCUACUUACACCUCUUCCCCAGCUGGCUCUAGUUUUCAUUUUCUGCAAAACAAGUCAGAGGAAUAAGAGAAAAGGAAGAACACAAGAACAAGUUAUGGAAUAAAAGAGAAGAGGAUAUGACAGGAGAUUGGUUAGCAUCCCUUUCCUGAGAUAAUUAGUGUAAGUAGUAUUGAAUAGAAAUGCAUGCAAGCAAAGUCAAGUUACAGUGGUUUUACUAUAUUUGCUUGCUGAUGCGGAAUCUAUGCUCAUACACAGAAAUAAGCAGAGUGAUCUAUUGAUUGAAAGGAAAUAAUAACAGCAUGUGAAAUUCUAGCAAAAGUCACCCAAUAAUACAACAGUAAAAAAAAAUCAG